GAUAGAUGUUUAUUUAGAUGAACCAACAAUAGAUGAUGAUGAAGACAAUGAAGAUUUUGAUGUGCUCAAAUAUUGGAAGACUAAUGAGAAAAAGUUUGCCAUAUUGUCUAUAUGGCUCGAGAUGUGUUUAGUAUUCCCAUUACUACAGUGGCAUCAGAGUCAGCUUUUAGUAAAGAUGGACGUGUACUUUCGAAAUAUAGAAGCUCCAUUCUUCCUGAGCAUGUGCAAAUGUUGAUUUGUACUCAAAAUUGGCUAUAUGGAUUUUCUGAAAAUCCCAGUGAUGAAAUUGUUGAAGAUAUUUUUGAUCAUGAGGGAAUUGAUGAGUCUAAACUUUUAGAAGAUGUUGAAAGUCUUCAACAUUGUGGGCAGUGAAAGUGAUCACAGGAAAUUGAAGAAGUGAAUACAGAUGAAGAACCUCAAGGAUUUCACUUUAGGUUAACCCUGGCCAAAGGGCCAAAAAUCUGGUUAAAAUAACCAUCAGGCUGAGGAAGAAAUGUAUUGGGAGCUGCUGCUGAAAGAAGGAAUUGGGUCGCUGCACAUGGAAUUGGACUUAAUUGAAACACACCGUUUUGGUGUUUUGAGUGGCUGGUAUGGACUGAAGUCAUUUUGGGCAAUAGAUUAAUGAAAUGCUACGUUUUAUGUAGCUCCGAGGUUGAACACUGAGGGGGUCUUUUAGUUCAUGCUUCAUUUGGGCAAAGACAAAUUAAGCUCAAAUUUGGGAUUUCUCCCAAUUUUCUCAACACCCUCUAGUUAGGGCUUGACGAGAGCGAGAGAGAUGAAGAGAAGUUGGACCUUGCGCCACUUGCUAGAAGGAUGAUCGACCCAAAAAGGAAGACGGUCCGGAAGCAAAUUGGACCAGAAGGGUGAUCGAAAGCGUGCUGAGAAGUACGAAGCUCAAACGGUUGAAGAAGUUGGUUCAGAGUUCGUUCCAAAUUCCUGCUUUAGUUUAGAUUUCAAAGCUUUCGUAGCAUAGAACUUCUUCUGCACUGGAUUUUUCUGAGGAGCUCAUGAGCGUGACAAGCCAUGAGUUUCUUGGCGAUUCCAGUAACUUGUACCUUUGUUCUUGAAUUAUAAUUGAAAUCUGAUGUUUACUUUUA